AUAUCUAAAAGCUGUGCAGAACGUUGUGGAUUGUUGAGGCUAUUAGAUACACGCUAUAAGGGCAUUGCUCAUGGAGUUGGUCAAUCAGAGAUACUAGGUCGUAUUCAUGUUGCUCCAAUUAAGAUAGGGCAAAUAUUUUACCCUUGUUCUUUCGUGGUACUGGAUUCUCCCAAUAUGGAAUUUCUCUUU